GUUAAGCGACUAAGCGUACACGGUGGAUGCCCUGGCAGUCAGAGGCGAUGAAGGGCGUGCUAAUCUGCGAUAAGCGCCGGUAAGGUGAUAUGAACCGUUAUAACCGGCGAUACCCGAAUGGGGAAACCCAGUGUGAUUCGUCACACUAUCAUUAACUGAAUCCAUAGGUUAAUGAGGCGAACCGGGGGAACUGAAACAUCUAAGUACCCCGAGGAAAAGAAAUCAACCGAGAUUCCCCCAGUAGCGGCGAGCGAACGGGGAGGAGCCCAGAGCCUGAAUCAGCAUGUGUGUUAGUGGAAGCGUCUGGAAAGGCGCGCGAUACAGGGUGACAGCCCCGUACACAAAAGCGCAUGUGCUGUGAGCUCGAUGAGUAGGGCGGGACACGUGGUAUCCUGUCUGAAUAUGGGGGGACCAUCCUCCAAGGCUAAAUACUCCUGACUGACCGAUAGUGAACCAGUACCGUGAGGGAAAGGCGAAAAGAACCCCGGCGAGGGGAGUGAAAAAGAACCUGAAACCGUGUACGUACAAGCAGUGG
rnacentral:rRNA from 1 species